GAUAAACGCUAGCGGCAGGCUUAAUACAUGCAAGUCGAGGGGUAGCAAGAUUGUAGCAAUACAAUUGUUGACGACCGGCAAACGGGUGCGGAACACGUACACAACCUUCCUACAAGUGGGGAAUAGCCCAGAGAAAUUUGGAUUAAUACCCCGUAACAUAGCGAUGUGGCAUCACAUUGCUAUUAUAGCUUCGGCGCUUGUUGAUGGGUGUGCGGCUGAUUAGAUAGUUGGCGGGGUAACGGCCCACCAAGUCUACGAUCAGUAGCUGAUGUGAGAGCAUGGUCAGCCACACGGGCACUGAGACACGGACCCGACUCCUACGGGAGGCAGCAGUAAGGAAUAUUGGACAAUGGACGCAAGUCUGAUCCAGCCAUGCCGCGUGAAGGAUUAAGGUCCUCUGGAUUGUAAACUUCUUUUAUAAGGGACGAAAAAAGGUCUUUCUAGAUCGUCUGACGGUACCUUAUGAAUAAGCACCGGCUAACUCCGUGCCAGCCGCCGCCGUAAGA
rnacentral:rRNA from 1 species